GACAGAGGUGCCGAGCGUUAGGCGGAAUCACUGGGCUUAAAGCGUGUGUAGGCGGGCGGGCAAGUACCUUGUGAAAUCCCACGGCUCAACCGUGGAACGGCUGGGUAUACUGCCUGUCUUGAGCCAACUAGGGGCGAGCGGAACAGACGGUGGAACGGUGAAAUGCGUAGAUAUCGUCUGGAACGCCAAAGGUGAAAACAGCUCGCUGGGGUUGUGCUGACGCUGAGACACGAAAGCCAGGGGAGCGAACGGG
rnacentral:rRNA from 1 species